UGAAACUCUCUUACUUCUGCCUCAUCUACAGAUUGGAUAGAGACCAAAAUAAUAGUAACACCAAUUUUUUUAAUAAAUAAAAAAACAUGAAACUCAACCUAAACCCCCUCUUCAUCUUUUUUUUCCCUAAACGUAAACCAAAACCUAAAAUUUCUUCUUCCCCCAAUAUGUGUUAUCUUCUUCAAUAAUCUCUUCUUCAUUUUCUUCCCUUAAUUAGAGUUCAUGGAACAAUCGAUCAUAAUGAUUAUAACUAGAAUAUAUAAUCCAUGCAACCAUAAUUCAUACAACCAUAAUUCAAAUAACCAAAAGAUUACAAUGAUAAUUCAUAUUAACCAAAUGAUAAAAAUUCUUUCAACCUGAAUUUUUUCGUUAAUAAUUUAAAAUUGGAUAAGUCUAGAAGUGCUUUAAUUAUAGAAAAUAGUAGAAUAUAUCAAGAAGUAGGUUUUAAUUAAGAAGUUCCUAAAAAUGUGUUUAGAGUUAUCUAUUUGUAGCUAUAAAUACUCCCUUGUACUUGACAAUAUUAAACAUCAAGAAAAUUGUGAAUUUUCUCUUAGAAAUAUUUCUCUUCCUCUAACAAAUUCGUAAUUCAUGCAAUAUUUCAAUGAAGAAUAAAUAAGAAAAGCACUUGAAGAUGAAAUAAUGGAAGAAUAUGAAGAGCAAAUUGGGGGAAGGAGAUGAAUAACCAAUUGGAGAAAGAAGAAUGAUUCCAUAACAAAAUGAUUACAACAAGAAUUCAUAAUUCAUGAACUAGAAUUCAUACAACCAAAACUCAUAUAAUCAAAAAAUGAUAACCAUAAUACAUAUAACCUAAGGAUAGAAAGUCUUCCAACCAGAAUUCAUUAUUCAUGCAAUCUUCUAAUAUUCCAUUGAAGAAGAAUAACAGAAAAAGGUGAAGGAAAAAUAGGGGAAGAAGAUCAAUGACAAAUUGGGGGAAGAAGAAAUUUUAAGAUUAUAUUUAGGGAAUAAGAAGAAGAAGGUAUUUAGGGUGAGCUUUAUAUUUUGUGAUUUAUUGGAAGUGCUACUAUCACUUUGGUCUCGACCCAAUUUGUUAUGUACGAGACACUAAUAGAGUCCCAUGUCAACUUCCCAAUCAAAAUUCAUGUCACCAAGUUAAUAAACUUAAACUGUUAGACUAAAUUGACAUAAGUUUGAAUGAGUUAAAUACUAACUUGAAUUUUCAGCUGAGUUAAGGAUUAAAGUAACAACGUCAUACACAUUUAGAGAAUAAAUUCACAUUUAGAGAAUAAAUUUGUAGUUCACCCUCCAAAUAGGUUAGACUUUUAC
rnacentral:lncRNA from 1 species